GCGGACGUGGCGGAAUUUAGAAGACGCGCAAGCUUGAGGGGCUUGUGGGGGCAACCCUGUGUGGGUGCAAAUCCCACCGUCCGCACAA
rnacentral:tRNA from 1 species